UUGUUUCUUUCAGGUUGUAACCCCUUACAUGAACCCUUGCCCAUAUAUGGUGUUUCCAUGGACCCCUGUGCCACUGGUCUUCAAUCUAUUUAGGACAAUGGGUUUGCAGCAUCUGAUUGUGGUGAACACUAAAGGGCAGCUUGUGGGAAUGAUAACAAGAUACAAUCUAACCCAUGAAUAUAUGGAGCAUUGUCUGGAAAACCUUGGCACAAACUAAAAGUAAUAUUUUCUGGAUGUAAAUUUAGAAGAAAUUCAAGGAUUUAAUUUAAGAUAAUUUAGAAAAUAUUUCUUACCUUCUGUACCAUAAAUGUUCUUUUAUGGGGGAAAAGUAGUUAUUAUUUUGUUAUGUUUUGAAUGGAUGAGUGAAUGAAUGAAUGAAUGAA